CGGAGUGUAGCGCAGUUUGGUAGCGUACGUCGUUUGGGACGAUGUGGUCGCAGGUUCGAAUCCUGUCACUCCGA
rfam:Bathycoccus prasinos genomic : Chloroplast.